rnacentral:lncRNA from 1 species
UAAUCAUUAUCAGAUAACUAUCGAAUUUUAUUUUUCACCUUCCGGGUGUCAGAAUGGCAUGAAACUUUAAAUCUAACCUCAUAAAAAUAAUUCUGACUUAUCCUCCAGUUUUCAUAAUUUUCUGACACUGUGCAUUUUCUGCUAACUUAUCUGCCCCGUUUCACACAGAAAAAUUCUAAAUAUUCUGUUUUCGCUCCGAUUUCAGCACAGGUCAUUCCCAACCUAUAUUUCACUUCUCUAAAUCCAAUAAAAAUAGUAUCUCAUACUAUUUUAUUUAUUUUCACUUUUACAUUUAAAAUCCGGUAUGUUAUAUUCCACCACAACCUCACCGGAACCAUUUAAAUGUACACCGUAAAUUCAUAGUUUUAGAAAUCCGAUACCCUACAUCCUCCCCUCCUUAAAAGGAGUUUCGUCCUCGAAACUCAAAUCUCAUCUCAAUUCGAGUUUUCGAGCAUCUGAGGGUAACAAUGCAUUUUUGCACUCCGGGAUGGCCUUUCUCUCAUCGGAACUACCCAAAGGCCGACUACGGAGGAUGUGAGACCAAACUCACUCACAUUUGCUAAGCACAACACCAAAUGUGCAUUACAAUUUCGUAAGUUUAGGUGGCAACGUAAGUCGACACUCGACGACUCUACACGCUCAACACCACUUGCUACCGAAUCCAGAGAGUACACUUCGAUUCAAUCACCGGCAUUGCCUAAAAGCAAUAUCACGAGUGCAUCGACCCAUCGUAAGUACUACCAUCACAAUCGAAUUUUGCUCUACUACGAGAUGGCACACUUCGGUACAUCUCAAAUGUUAAUCCUCAAGAGAGCAUAUCCUCAAGUCUCGCAUGGCUAGCCGCUAUUCGAGUGUCUCCAAGAGACCACUUUAUCUUCUUUUUCCAUUGCCACGGCCAACACCAAUUCGUUCCUGCAAUGAAUUCACACGAACACUUUGUUCGCGAAUCCAAGCCAAACUCCUAACUGAGUUACCGGCCAAACCACUCACCUCGGUUUUCCAUGGGUGGACCAAAGGUCACCAACCAUACGUAGGUCUACCGCCCAAACCUGUCUCAACACGUAGCGUCUCUCGCUCGCAAGCGUGGACCCAAUCAACACUAUUGGGCAAAAUUCUCACUUGGGAAUUCGCACACACUCCGACUAGGAGCAACUAUGACCCCAAACCGCUACCAAUCCUUGGGUCAGGUCACUACACACUCGGUGUGUCAUCGAUCUUGUAAUCCACAGGUGGCAUUCCACAUUCUCGAGUCUAAACUCGGACUACCUCCCUGACCAAAACUCUGCCCUACCCGUAGGUAUCAGGCCGCUGUCUCUCACAGCUGACUGUGCUUGCCCAAUGGGCCCAGGCUCCACAGUCCACAAAUGGUCCAGGCAUGGGUCGUCCCCAAGCAAUAGCCGUCAUCGUCGUCCUGCACGACAUGCUCUAUCGAGUCACACGUACCACUAUCGGCUCCUAUGCACCUAGUGCGAGCCACCAGCCCCACGAGUGACCCAUGGCCUGCUUCACACUUAGCAAUGCUAUAGUGCUACUGCCAUCUCACUCCCCCGGCUAAAUAGAAUUCGCACUCCACGAGUAUCUACACUCGAGCGCUCUACGCCUCUACAGUGUUCCACAUGAAGUCCAACAUUAGGCAAUCUUGCUUAUGCACACCGGCCGCACGAGCACAACCGCCUACCUCACCUUGAGGUACUACCAGGCCCACGUGCUCAUACUUGGCCACUAAUCUACCGCACUCUCAACAGUGAUUCUACUUUCACUGUUUAAUUUACCGGAACAAUAUCCGAAUUCUCGGAUUACUCGGGUGCCUACAAGCAUUAUGGCUCAACUCUAGCAAUCUACUGAUCAUGUUGCCUUGAGAGUCGCUUCACCAUUUCAUCUACACCACGAGUCUCAUUUCUCGUCCAUAGGCCACUACUAGCAAUUUGCUAGUGACGUCUCGCUCUCUACCUGCUCCAGCAGGCGCUAUACUCUCUCACACAGGUAUGCCCGGGUACCCUCACCUACCCGUCCACUGGUCCCUACUAUACUAAUGUAUAAAUAGUAGCAACUGACCAUGAAAAUGCAUGCAAUGCACCAAUUUAAUAUCAUGCAGAAACACACAUUUGCUGCAACUAAACCAUACCUGCCGUGGCAUCUUCGACAGCAGCAGGUUCCUCGACUUGAGCAGCAAACACCUGGCCACUCGGAGUCGACUGGGCCACCUCCGACUGACGAGGUGCCAUCACACGUCCAACUGACGCAACAGUUGGUAGGGCUCCUCCAUAAUGGCCCGAAAUCGCCAAAGACGAUGCAACAGACGGGACAGGCGAGGUCCUCCUUGGACAGUGGCGGCUGAUGUGUCCCGCCUGACCACACGUGAAGCAUUUUCCCUCUUUUUGCUCGCAAUGGUUCGGAUCAUGUUUACCUCCACAAAUGACACACUUCCGAGUCCCACAACUCUGGGACCGUGCUCGCGGGUACUUCGAAGGCUUCUUAGACCUUGACUGACCUCUCGAGCCGUCAGAGGCUCGCUUCUUACCGCCAUCCCUCUUGGACGCCUCUCGCUCCUCGCGGACGUGGGCAUUACUAUGCUCCGCCCACAACGCUCGAUCGAGCACUUCCGCAAAUGUAGUGAGCUUCAGAAUGUGAACCGCUUUAUAUAUAUCCGGUCGGAGUCCUCUCACGAACCAGUUGGCCCAAUCUCUGUCGUCUCGCACCACGUCGGGGACGCCGUCGAUAAUAUGUGAGAACUCCUGCUCAUACUCUCCGACCGAGCAGUUUCCUUGCUUUAACUUUCGGAAUUUAUCUUGGAGCUUCUUUUUCUUACUAUUGGGGAAAUAGUUGACAUAUAACAAGCUCCGAAACUCUUUCCACGUCAAUGGCGGAAGGUCGGGAGACCGAUCUCGCUUGACCCGCUUCAACCACACCUUCGUCGCCCGCUCCAUGCAAUGUGUAGCAAGGGGAACUUUAUCCUUCUCUAGUAUAUAGAGAUCUUCAAAAAGAGUCUCCAUUGAGUCCACCCACGACUCGACCAUCCAAGACUCAACCUUCUUCUCGUUGAACAUCGGCGGACUAAACUUUCGAAACUUCAUAAGAGCCGCAAGUGCGCGCUCCCUCUCGGCUUCCAUAGCUACACCUUCGGGAUUUAAUGUCCCCGAACUGGCAGCCACCAUCGCCGGCGUGGGUUGCGCCGCAACUGGCACAGCUGCAGUGGCCACACCCUCUGUCACGACGGGCACGACCACCGGAGGCGCGGGCCGCUCAACAUUCGCUUGAGCCGACGCCAGCUGCGCUACCAACUGUUGUAGCCUCGCAAUCUGGUCCUCUUGGCGCUGCAUCGCGCCGACCAUCGAAGCGAUCUGCGCUCGCAAUUCCCGCACUUCUUCAGAUCCCGACUGCUCGGGCACCUCGGGAGGUGGUGCCAAAGUGGAUCUAGUCGCGGGGCAUCUCUUUGGUGCCAUAGUUCCUGAAACACGACCACUUGGUUAAUCACCUUAACUCGUUAAUCUUGUGGCAACUACUAGACAACGCGACUCAAAUCAGGCAGAAGUCAUACAAGGGUGCCUAUUCUCAUCACUAGGUUUUAUGUUGUCGCGCGCCAACAUGAACACACUUGGUUGAGAAUAUACCACAUCUUGAGUCUCCCUCUAACAUCCGUUUUAGAGGUAUACUAUCUUAACCCAAUCGAUUCAACUUCCGCCACCGUUAUAGGUUCACGUUCUACUCACGCACCUAUAACCUUACGGUUUACCGUCCUAGGGUCUCCUAAGUCAUCCUAGACUCUCUCUUUACUUACUCUUAGCUUGCUCUGAUACCAACAACUCUGUCACGCCCCGCCCCAAAUCCAAUACUAAUUUGGCACGGUUCGGGCGCACCGGACGGACCGCCGAACGGACAGCACCUCUCCUGUCCGCCCAAGGCCAAGCAACCAAAUCAUGUACAGUUAAGCGCCCAGGGAAUGCUUAAAUAACAUACAUGAUCGAUACGAUGCACACAAGUGCAAUACAUCUAAGAGCAAGAACCACAAGUAAUAUACAAGUGUAUAAAGAGAGAUAGUCUAACUAUCACUACCAUUCAACAUUUACAUCAUUUGAAUAUAUUACAUUUUCAUCUUCCAAAUGUAAAUACAUAUUUGCCUCAAAUACAAAUAGCUCUCCAAUAACUAUCCAAAACAUCAUCUAGUACACGAGGGUACUCUAAUGCAUAAAGGAAAAGCUACUAACUAGGCUCACUUAGGGCGCUAUGCCCUUGCCGCUGUCCUCGCUCGGCUCGCCUCUGUGUGUACCUGUACCCCAAAACCACAUGGGGUGAGAACUAUAUAAAUAUAGUUCCCAGUGGGUUCGGCCGCCGACGCCGCCGGUUUUUCUACUAGGUCUAAGCUGGCACAGAUAGAGAGAUAGAUAGAUAUGUAAAGAGAUAAACUGCAGCUACUCUAUCAUGCCAUCAAUGAUGAUAAUGCAUGCAACAACAACUAUCAUACCAGAAUCAUGUCAUGAGUAUAUAAAGUACAUAGCAAUGCAAUCUACAACAUACACUAAGUCUACUCGAGGUAAUAAUGCAAGUCUACUAUGCAUCUCAUGGUAUGAAUGCAAUCCACUUAUGCUAUUCAUGUUACAAUAAUAAAGAAAUGAGCUGCUACAUAGUGAUGUAUCUGCACAUGCUACUAUGCCUCAAUAAUCCGAAUGAACGAGCUACUACAUAGUGCGUCGUGCAAUUAUGCCUCGAUAGUAUCCAAUCAUGGCAUGAAACUUUAAAUCUAGCCUCAUAAAAAUAAUUCUGACUUAUCCUCCAGUUUUCAUAAUUUUCUGACACUGUGCAUUUUCUGCUAACUUAUCUGCCCCGUUUCACAUAGAAAAUUCUAAAUAUUCUGUUUUCGCUCUGAUUUCAGCACAAGUCAUUCCCAACUUAUAUUUCACUUCUCUAAAUCCAAUAAAAAUAGUAUCUCAUACUAUUUUUAUUUAUUUUCACUUUUACAUUUAAAAUCCAGUAUGUUAUAUUCCACCGCAACCUCACCGGAACCAUUUAAAUGUACACCGUAACUUCAUAGUUUUAGAAAUCCGGUACCCUACAAAAGUACACCCUAAUUAGUUCUAAAAAUACAUCUCAACUAAAUGAAAACAAGCUUGCAUGGGUUCAUCUUUUCAACAUCGAGGAGGCUCUAGUUAGUCGUUGACCCCUUGCCACGAACCCUAGCCUUUCCCGCUGCGGAAGGCUCUUCAUAAAAACAACC